rnacentral:rRNA from 1 species
GAACGCUAGCUACAGGCUUAACACAUGCAAGUCGAGGGGCAGCAUGGUCUUAGCUUGCUAAGGCCGAUGGCGACCGGCGCACGGGUGAGUAACACGUAUCCAACCUGCCGUCUACUCUUGGACAGCCUUCUGAAAGGAAGAUUAAUACAAGAUGGCAUCAUGAGUCCGCAUGUUCACAUGAUUAAAGGUAUUCCGGUAGACGAUGGGGAUGCGUUCCAUUAGAUAGUAGGCGGGGUAACGGCCCACCUAGUCUUCGAUGGAUAGGGGUUCUGAGAGGAAGGUCCCCCACAUUGGAACUGAGACACGGUCCAAACUCCUACGGGAGGCAGCAGUGAGGAAUAUUGGUCAAUGGGCGAGAGCCUGAACCAGCCAAGUAGCGUGAAGGAUGACUGCCCUAUGGGUUGUAAACUUCUUUUAUAAAGGAAUAAAGUCGGGUAUGCAUACCCGUUUGCAUGUACUUUAUGAAUAAGGAUCGGCUAACUCCGUGCCAGCAGCCGCGGUAAUACGGAGGAUCCGAGCGUUAUCCGGAUUUAUUGGGUUUAAAGGGAGCGUAGAUGGAUGUUUAAGUCAGUUGUGAAAGUUUGCGGCUCAACCGUAAAAUUGCAGUUGAUACUGGAUAUCUUGAGUGCAGUUGAGGCAGGCGGAAUUCGUGGUGUAGCGGUGAAAUGCUUAGAUAUCACGAAGAACUCCGAUUGCGAAGGCAGCCUGCUAAGCUGCAACUGACAUUGAGGCUCGAAAGUGUGGGUAUCAAACAGGAUUAGAUACCCUGGUAGUCCACACGGUAAACGAUGAAUACUCGCUGUUUGCGAUAUACUGCAAGCGGCCAAGCGAAAGCGUUAAGUAUUCCACCUGGGGAGUACGCCGGCAACGGUGAAACUCAAAGGAAUUGACGGGGGCCCGCACAAGCGGAGGAACAUGUGGUUUAAUUCGAUGAUACGCGAGGAACCUUACCCGGGCUUAAAUUGCAGAUGAAUUACGGUGAAAGCCGUAAGCCGCAAGGCAUCUGUGAAGGUGCUGCAUGGUUGUCGUCAGCUCGUGCCGUGAGGUGUCGGCUUAAGUGCCAUAACGAGCGCAACCCUUGUUGUCAGUUACUAACAGGUUCCGCUGAGGACUCUGACAAGACUGCCAUCGUAAGAUGUGAGGAAGGUGGGGAUGACGUCAAAUCAGCACGGCCCUUACGUCCGGGGCUACACACGUGUUACAAUGGGGGGUACAGAGGGCCGCUACCACGCGAGUGGAUGCCAAUCCCCAAAACCUCUCUCAGUUCGGACUGGAGUCUGCAACCCGACUCCACGAAGCUGGAUUCGCUAGUAAUCGCGCAUCAGCCACGGCGCGGUGAAUACGUUCCCGGGCCUUGUACACACCGCCCGUCAAGCCAUGGGAGCCGGGGGUACCUGAAGUGCGUAACCGCGAGGAGCGCCCUAGGGUAAAACUGGUGACUGGGGCUAAGU